AUUGAACGCUGGCGGCAUGCUUUACACAUGCAAGUCGAACGGUAACAGGUUAAGCUGACGAGUGGCGAACGGGUGAGUAAUGCAUCGGAACGUGCCCGAUCGUGGGGGAUAACGCAGCGAAAGCUGCGCUAAUACCGCAUACGAUCUGAGGAUGAAAGCGGGGGACCGUAAGGCCUCGCGCGAUCGGAGCGGCCGCUGUCAGAUUAGGUAGUUGGUGGGGUAAAGGCUCACCAAGCCAACGAUCUGGAGCUGUGCUGAGAGGACGGCCAGCCACACUGGGGGUGAGAAACGGUCCAGACUCCUACGGGAGGCAGGAGUGGAGAAUUGUGGACAAUGGACGAAAGCCUGAUCCAACAAUGCCGCGGGCAGGAAGAAGGCCUGCGAGUUGUAAACUGCUUUUGUACGGAGCGAAAAGGCUCUCUCUAAUACAGGGGGCUCAUGACGGUACCGUAAGAAUAAGCACCGGCUAACUACGUGCCAGCCGCCGCGGUAA
rnacentral:rRNA from 1 species